rnacentral:rRNA from 1 species
GAUGAACGCUGGCGGCGUGCUUAACACAUGCAAGUCGAACGGAAAGGCUCCUGCUUGCAGGGGUAUUCGAGUGGCGAACGGGUGAGUAACACGUGGGUGAUCUGCCCUGCACUUCGGGAUAAGCCUGGGAAACUGGGUCUAAUACCGGAUAGGACCACAUUUUGGAUGGUGUGGUGGAAAGUUUUUCGGUGUGGGAUGAGCUCGCGGCCUAUCAGCUUGUUGGUGGGGUAAUGGCCUACCAAGGCGUCGACGGGUAGCCGGCCUGAGAGGGUGUACGGCCACAUUGGGACUGAGAUACGGCCCAGACUCCUACGGGAGGCAGCAGUGGGGAAUAUUGCACAAUGGGCGCAAGCCUGAUGCAGCGACGCCGCGUGGGGGAUGACGGCCUUCGGGUUGUAAACUCCUUUCGCUAGGGACGAAGCGUUUUUGUGACGGUACCUGGAGAAGAAGCACCGGCUAACUACGUG